rnacentral:lncRNA from 1 species
CACCAAACUGAAUCUGCAGCAGACACCCUUAAGCAAGGCUUAGCCACAGUUAACCUGAACUCAGAACCCCACGGAGUCAUUUUCCCCGAGGAACGCAGCCAGACCCUGCAGCUCAGAAGAGGAAAAAAAAAAAAUCUCUGUGUUGACAACCGUAUUGGCGUCUCAACUGUGAGACUUACUGUUGAUACUGUUAUGUAAUCUUACACACCAAUACGUGUUUGGAUUUCAGAUCUACAUUUGACAGACCAUUUCCUGUGUUAUGCCUUGCUUGUAUCUCUAAUUGGAAGCAAGACCCAGACACCAACACAGGAGUGUGGCCGGAGACCAUAUGGUGUGGGGGGCUUCCUGCUGUUUAAGAUGAUAUGAGUCCUCACAUUUCCCAAACCUGUCCAUCUGCUAUUUCAUCUGCAGUUAUGUCCACUGGAACUAUUCAACCAGCUUGCACUUACUUAGAAAAACAUAUGUCUACAUUUAUGAAAUGCAAUUUAAAAGAACUGGUUAAACGUGGCCGUGAGCCUUGAAAGAGAAACUUUCCACAGAACAAAACCCAGCUAUGAAGGAAGUCCUUACUGGGACUUCAGGGAAAGACUUG